UGCCUUUUAAAUGAAGGCCUGUAUGAAUGGCAUAACGAGGGCUUAACUGUCUCUUUCUCCCAGUCAAUGAAAUUGAUCUCUCCGUGCAGAAGCGGAGAUAAAAACAUAAGACGAGAAGACCCUGUGGAGCUUUAGACUACAGACAGACCAUGUAAAAGAUACCAACAUAAAAGGCUUCAAACAAAUUGGUAACUGUUUUAAUGUCUUUGGUUGGGGCGACCGCGGGAUAAUGAAAAACUCCCACGUGGAUUGAGAAUACCCCAUUCUUACAACCAAGAGUUCCCUCUCUAAGUAACAGAACAUCUGACCUCAAUGAUCCGGCAUUGCCGAUCAACGGACCGAGUUACCCCAGGGAUAACAGCGCAAUCCUCUUUUAGAGCCCAUAUCGACAAGAGGGUUUACGACCUCGAUGUUGGAUCAGGACAUCCUAAUGGUGCAGCCGCUAUUAAGGGUUUGUUUGUUCAACAAUUAAAGU
rnacentral:rRNA from 1 species